CAGUCGAACGGCAGCACGGACUUCGGUCUGGUGGCGAGUGGCGAACGGGUGAGUAAUAUAUCGGAACGUGUCCAAUAAUGGGGGAUAACUAAUCGAAAGGUUGGCUAAUACCGCAUACGCCCUACGGGGGAAAGCAGGGGAUCUUCGGACCUUGCGUUAAUGGAGCGGCCGAUAUCUGAUUAGCUAGUUGGUGGGGUAAAGGCCCACCAAGGCGACGAUCAGUAGCUGGUCUGAGAGGACGACCAGCCACACUGGAACUGAGACACGGUCCAGACUCCUACGGGAGGCAGCAGUGGGGAAUUUUGGACAAUGGGCGCAAGCCUGAUCCAGCCAUUCCGCGUGAGUGAAGAAGGCCUUCGGGUUGUAAAGCUCUUUCGCAAGAGAAGAAAACUUACCUUCGAAUAAAGGGUGAGGUUGACGGUACCUUGAUAAGAAGCACCGGCUAACUACGUGCCAGCAGCCGCG
rnacentral:rRNA from 1 species